AUCAAGCUAAUUAUUCCACAAAUUUCUUCUCCUCCUUCUCUAUUUCUUUAUAAUAUUAGAGCCUCUCAGAACAAAAGCUUUAGAGUUCGAAUCCUGCAAACCCAUUCAUUAAUUAAAAACUUCAGUCUUCAGCACAAGGCAAAGUGGACAUGUGCUUGCUCACGCUUUAAACCCAGUGGGCAUUCGAGUGCAGGAGGGUGUGUUGGAGAUAUAAAACUAUUAUUGGGCUCUCACUUACA
rnacentral:misc_RNA from 1 species